UUGACUUGGGCCUGGUCCAAUUCGUUUGAUAUACUUGGGCUCCUUUGUUGAAGUUAUGACCCUUUUUCCCUUUUCUUCUUCUUCACAGUUUCUCUGAAACUGAUCUGGAUCAAUUUUAUUUUUAUUCUUGACAUCCCCCCUCAAGUUGGAGGGAGACGAAGAAACACCCAACUUGCUAAGGAUGAGAUGGUGACUUGGGCCAGAAAGUGAUUUUGUAAAGAGAUCGGCCAGCUGGUCCUUUGAAGGAACAAAAGUCAAAGAAAUGAGACCGGAAAGGUAUUGUUGCCGGACGAAAUGGCAGUCAAGUUCCACGUGUUUCGUCCUCUCAUGAAACACGGGAUUUCGAGCUAUAUGUAUAGCUGCUUGACUGUCGGAAUGAAUUGGUAUGGGAAGUUUAGGUGGAACUGAGAGAUCGCUCAGUAGUCUAGUAAGCCAAGUCAACUCAGUCACAAGUCGUCGCAUCGACCGGUACUCCGAUUCAGCAGAUGACAAAGAAAUGGAGUCUUGUUUCUUGGAUUUCCAGGAAAUGGGAGAUCCGCCUAGAUUGAUGAAGAACCCACUCACUGAUUUUCGAGAUUCGCGACAUGAAGCCCAAUCAGCAUCGCAAAAAGCUUGAAGAUGAAAUGAGGGAUGAGAUGUCAUGAAGAUACCUUGACCUGGGUCAUUUCGCAAGUAGCUGAGGACUCUUAAAGCUGCAUAAAAGUGAUCCACACAUGGUGUUUGCAUAUAUUGACUAAGGAUAAUUUAGAUGAAGGAUCCAGGGGACAAGAAACAUGAGGCAUAUGUGACACAUCAAACUCACUCAACAGAUCCAAGGUGGAAAAGUUUAGCCCCAUUAGAUUGUCCAAACCUAUGUUCUAGGCUCGUCCACAGUUCUUUAGCAGAACUGGAGUAGAUUACACUGUCUGCUAUGUCUUUGGACAAAGAAUUGAGGAGCCAGGAAGUCACCAUGUCAUUACACCUGCUCCAUGGUUGGUAGUCUGCUUCUUUUGAAUCUGGAGCAACAUGAGCACCUGAGAUAAACCCCAAUUUGUUCUUUGCUGAUAAUGCAAUGAGUAUGGUUCUUUUCCAUCCCUGAUAUCCCCUUCCAUCAAAAGGAGUGUUAACAAGAGCCAUUCCAGGAGCAUCCGAAGAGUGGAGAAAAUAAGGAUGAUUUGAGUCGAUUGUGGUUUGAUUUGCAGCUGUUACUACUGCUGCUGGUGUAUUAACAGCAACUGCAUUUUCUGCCAUUGUAAAUGAUUGAGUGAAGUGAUUUUUUUUUUUUUUUUUUUUUUUUUUUUGGAUAGAUUGAUGUAUUUAGUGAAAAACUGAUGUAUUUUAGAGAGGAAUUUUAACCUUGCUCUGAUACCAUGAAAGAAAAUGGUGAAGACAAAUAAAUGGGAGAAAUUUUUCUGUUAUUUUCCAUUGAAGAAGAGCUCCUAUAUAUACAAGUGUAUUAUGCUAUAAAAUAAAUAUAAAAUCUAUACAAAUUUGUCUAACUCCUAUUGUCUUUGCACAGAACACUAUGCAACCAAAUAUUAUUUCUCCAUACUUCCUCCAUACAAUGUUGCAUGCUUGUAGAAUAACUAGGAGAAUCUUUUUGUUCCUCCAUACUGCUGUCUCUGAUCUGGAAUAU